UACGGGGGGGGCAAGCGUUGUUCGGAAUUACUGGGCGUAAAGGGCUCGUAGGUGGCCAACUAAGUCGGACGUGAAAUCUCUCGGCUUAACCGGGGAACUGCGUCUGAUACUGGAUGGCUUGAGUUCGGGAGAGGGAUGCGGAAUUCCAGGUGUAGCGGUGAAAUGCGUAGAUAUCUGGAGGAACACCGGUGGCGAAGGCGGCAUCCUGGACCGACACUGACGCUGAGGAGCGAAAGCCAGGGGAGCAAACGGG
rnacentral:rRNA from 1 species